UCCCCGUUAUCCGGGGCGGUUUCACUAGAGUGCCCAGCUUGACCUGAUGGCAACUAGGGAUAAGGGUUGCGCUCGUUGCGGGACUUAACCCAACAUCUCACGACACGAGCUGACGACAGCCAUGCAGCACCUGUGUCUAGGUUCCCCUUCGGGCACACUCACAUCUCUGCGAGCUUCCGACCAUGUCAAGGGUAGGUAAGGUUUUUCGCGUUGCAUCGAAUUAAUCCACAUCAUCCACCGCUUGUGCGGGUCCCCGUCAAUUCCUUUGAGUUUUAACCUUGCGGCCGUACUCCCCAGGCGGGCAACUUCACGCGUUAGCUACGGUACUGAGAAAUCGCUUCCCCAACACCCAGUUGCCAUCGUUUAGGGCGUGGACUAC
rnacentral:misc_RNA from 1 species